rnacentral:rRNA from 1 species
UACGGAGGGAGCUAGCGUUGUUCGGAAUUACUGGGCGUAAAGCGCACGUAGGCGGCUUUGUAAGUUAGAGGUGAAAGCCCGGGGCUCAACCCCGGAAUUGCCUUUAAGACUGCAUCGCUUGAAUCCGGGAGAGGUGAGUGGAAUUCCGAGUGUAGAGGUGAAAUUCGUAGAUAUUCGGAAGAACACCAGUGGCGAAGGCGGCUCACUGGACCGGGUAUUGACGCUGAGGUGCGAAAGGCGUGGGGAGCAAACAGGAUU